UAUAUACUCCCUCCGUCUACAAUUACUUGUCAGAGAAAUAGAUAUAUCUAGACGUACUUUAGUUCUAAAUACAUCCACUUUUAUUCAUUUCUGCGACAAGUAAUUCUGGACAUAGGGAGUACCAU
rfam:Triticum aestivum genome assembly, contig: Triticum_aestivum_CS42_TGACv1_scaffold_374967_5AL